CACAGGUAAAGGCACACCUGCCGAAAGGAAGGGCCGCAAAGCUAUAGGGGCUAACACGCGGUGAAGCGUUAUGCCAGCCAGCUGCCGAA
rnacentral:ncRNA from 1 species